UACGUAGGGGGCAAGCGUUGUCCGGAAUCAUUGGGCGGAAAGCGCGUGUAGGCGGCUCGGUAAGUCCGCUCUGAAAGUCCAGGGCUCAACCCUGGGAUGCGGGUGGAUACUGCCGAGCUCGAGUCCGGAAGAGGCGAGUGGAAUUCCUGGUGUAGCGGUGAAAUGCGCAGAUAUCAGGAAGAACACCCGUGGCGAAGGCGGCUCUCUGGGACGGUACUGACGCUGAGACGCGAAAGCGUGGGGAGCGAACAGG
rnacentral:rRNA from 1 species